ACACUGAUUGGCCUUGUUUCAUCGAAGAGCUUCACAGGUAAGAAGAAAGUGAUGAUGAUGUUUCCUUUGCAAGGAAGUGGAGCCUGAUAUUGGUGUGUCUCUAAUGUACUUAAUGAGAAUGAAAACAUGGUUGUUGUAUGGUUCCAGGUUGAACAUGUGUGUCACGGAGUGACUUUGUAAGGGCGGAACUAAAAGUGACGGAGAUUGGUUCCGCCCGGACCAUAAUUCUCAAACACCGGUUACUUCCGGGAACUCCGGGGAAGGAAAUCAGGGUUUCAUUGAUCGCAGGUGUAUAGAUGAGCGGGGCGAUCGCGGAUUGGGCAGUGUGAAGAGAAGGAGGAGUAUAAAGAGGGCCUCAGAAACUGCGGAGGGAGGAAGUUCUUUGUUUUAUUUUAGCCGAUACGGCGAGUGAGUUGGAGUGUUCGGGCAAGUGCAGUGGAAAGAAGGCAGAGGAUAUUGUUGGCUGGGCGAAGACGGAGACAAGGGUUUGGCAGAAACAGAAACCGGGCUGAGUAUAUUGGGAUGUCUACCUAACUGUGAAAUGCUCCAUGGACAUGUGUAACAAAUUCUGAGUGGUUGAAAACAGGAAGACUUACCGGAAAUAUUGCCGAAGGAGGCCUUUUCGACAGGGCACGUGGCAGCAGGAGAAGGAUCCAGGAGCUGGAAAGAAGAGGGAAAAGAGACCUCGUGUUAGUAACGGUGUGAGUACCCUAAACCAUCGUAUAGCAGCAUAAUCAUCUAGAGUGAACUAUCUGUGAGCCUUUUUGUGAGUUUGUGGCUUAGUAUGUGAGUGGCCCCACCGUGGAGGAGGAUUGUGGGUGAGCCGGGACCAGUGAGCGAGAGAGGACGUUGGGGUGUCGUGGCGGCGACGUUUAAAUCUGAAUAUUCGUGGCAUCAGUGUCUCCACGAUUUCCAGGACGAGUCUUUGGUCAGACGGGGUUUUGACCCUAAAUUCACCAAGAGUGUGUGGAGUGCAGUGGGUGAGUCUUUGUCCUUUGCUGUGAGUGUAUACACUUGAAAAUUGCAGUGUUGUGCUGUGUUGUGUCGUCAACAACCACCUUUCAGGCCCGACGAAAUCCUGUGAAAGAAGUGAGUACCGAGGCGGGCGAAGAAAACCUCUCCAAUUAUAUGCUGUCGAUGACAUCCUGACCCUUCUUCCCCACGUGACGGUGGUGGGAAACAAUUUAAAGUAAGAACAGUGUGGAUAUAGUGGGAAGUAUUAACGGUGAGGAGUUGGCUGCUGUAGGAGGAAAUCAGCUGUGCGUGUAUUAUUACCUGCUGUGGAGUUCUUCAAAGGUUCGCCCCUGUCUAGAUCUCUUGCCCUGUCGGUUGGAAGAAAGAAGAGGGAAGCGUUCGACCAAUCCAGGUAGCACACCCUGGGUGAAACAACUUACCUGUGUGUGACACCAGCGGAGGCCGUGUUCGGCCCAACGCCGCAGCAGCUUUCGAUCCGCAUCUCUAUCAGCAGUUGGUUGAAGCCUCAGAAAAGGAAUGCCUGACGUCUAUUUCCUCAAAGGAAAGGAGAGGGCCCUGGACAGUCGUCCUGCAAGCCAGAAUAAAGGGGCACUUGUGAAUAAGCUGAUUGUCGUCACAUAGCCAGAAGGAAAGAGGAGUGAAGGACUCACCUGAGAUCUCCCGCGACGGAGUCUAAGAGACUCGAGACUGUUACUCUCCAAAAAAGAGUUGGAUUUUAGCCUCCCUUCCCAUACCUUUUUUUUAGUAGUUUAAUAAAGUCUGUUUUAAUAU